UCAUUUGAUAUUUUUUGUGAAUUUUCUCUUUUAUGGUUAUUUUAAUUCAUUUUUAAAUAGUUUUUUAUAUUCAAAAAAUACAAAAAUAUUUUCCUAAUCUAGUUGAAUGAUGAUGGAUCUAUGAAAAAUAUUCUCAUCAUUUUUUAAUUGAUUUGAGAUUUAUUUGAGAUUUUAGUUCAAUUAGGUUAUUUUUAUUCAUUUUUAAUUGAUUAAAAAUAGUUUCUGACUUUUAAAAAUGCUGAAAUUUUUUGUCAAACUUUCUUUGA
rnacentral:lncRNA from 1 species